rnacentral:rRNA from 1 species
UACGUAGGGUGCGAGCGUUAAUCGGAAUUACUGGGCGUAAAGCGUGCGCAGGCGGUUCGUUAAGUUCGUUGUGAAAGCCCCGGGCUCAACCUGGGAACUGCAAUGGAAACUGGCGGGCUUGAGUGCGGCAGAGGGGGGUGGAAUUCCGCGUAUAGCAGUGAAAUGCGUAGAGAUGCGGAGGAACACCGAUGGCGAAGGCAGCCCCCUGGGCCGACACUGACGCUGAGACGCGAAAGCGUGGGGAGCAAACAGG